GGGUUCACCCCACAAACAUAAUACAUGUAUCAGAAUAAAUUAAACUAGCCUAGUCCAACCCCCAAAACAUUACUACCAGAGUACCAGUAUAAAAAUUACCCAUCAGGGUACAAACACCCCCUACCCCACCCCCCCCAGCCCCCCCCCCCCCCCCCCCCCCCCCCCCCCCGAUAAAAACCACCUUUCCCUGUCUCAUAUAAGGGAUUUACAAAGGGUCAGUCUCUCUCUGAUUAUGCCUUCUAAUAUACCUUAAUCUUAAUGUUGUGAAAAGUUGAACUUUGCAAAAAAAGGUUAUAGUGCAAGUUAGAUCUAAGUACUAGGUAGACUUUGUGAAUUGCAACAUUUACUAUACUAUAAUGACUCAACCUAUCUGUAUGACAGCUACCCAAUUUCUACAGAAGCUUGCAUCAUUUUACACUGUGUACAAUAACUGUCAAUAUGACAGAUCAUUCCUAUAUAUUUACAUGUGUAUAUAUAAUAUACAGAUUACAGUUGUACACAACAUUUCUGUCAAUAUGACAGAUCUAAAUAUUUACAUGUAUAUAUAAUAUACAACUAAAACUGGAUGGAAUGUCCAUCAAACUGAUCAAAAGUCUCAAUGUCCACACAAACCAGCACACUUGCACAACUAGAGUGUCUUUGACAGUUGUCUUAAUUCUUCUGUGUUAAGUGUCAUAAAAUCACUCUAGGGUUUAUACAUUAAUUAGCACCGCCUUGUUACAAUUGUCUCUCUCCAGUCGAUACUUGUACAGAUCUAGACACCUAUAGAAGUCUGUUGCAGAAUAUGAGAGCACUGAAUUUUCUGAAUUUUCUCACAAGUCUUUUUGACAAUUUUUCCUUAUUCGAGCACAGUGGUUCACAUGGUCAAAGCACCCUCUACCCGUACUUUUCCAAUGUCACCAUACAAGGUACAGCUUUAUUGCUGAAAGAGGAAAGAAGGCAAGAUAAGAACCAUUAAAAAAUUAUCUUGAAAACUUUCAGUGCCCAACACAUAAUCCAAUUUUUAAUCACUUGACAUUGUUAAUAAUUUACAUCAACUUCCUGUAUGAUCAUCAGGAUUUAACCUUGACCUUUACUUUUUUUUUUAUCAAGGUCACAGACAAACUUUAGUACGUCUGUACUUACGCACAAGUUCCUCCUUUAGUAGACAAUGAAGGAGGUGUCAAGCUCAGAAUGCUGCACACACCGUCUCCUGGCAACCUUGUGCUUCCUUUGCUGGGGCAGUUUCUUUUGUUGCGGAACAUUGAGGUGCAUGGGGCGAUGUCUGAAACUGGUGCGAGCCAGCCACUCAAUCUGUUCAAAGAAGAGAAUGCAUGAUCACUUUCAAUUUGAAAUACUGAGAAGUUCUCUAUUCAUAUUACUCCCUAUCUAAACAGUACCAAUCAUGAAUACCUAAACACCUGUGAAUUUUGUUACAUAUACCAUAGUACUAUUAAUUAUGAAUAUGAAUACCAUUAUUGUUAAUACAUACGGUGUGGGUGGGUUGCGGGACGGUUGGCAAUUCCCUUCUGUCUUCCGACUUGUUGAUUGCACUCGUCAGUUUGUACUGUAAACCAAAUCAAACAAAAUCAGUUGAAAUUGUCUCUUUGUUAUGUUCAUUGAGCUACAUAUUAAUACCUGUACUUUUGAAUUGACACUGUGUUUAUAUAUCAAUGCAUUUAUUCAGGUUCAGUUUAUCAUUAAUAAAACUUCAUAAGCAU
rnacentral:sRNA from 1 species